rnacentral:miRNA from 1 species
GGCCGGCUGGAAGGGUUUCCUUCCAGCCGGCGAGGUACAUGUACCUCGACAGCUGGAAGGAAAUCCUUCCAGUCAACGAGGUACAUGUACCUCGUCGACUGGAAGGAAGCCCUUCCAGCCGGCG